rnacentral:lncRNA from 1 species
GAAGUUGAUGGAGUCGUCGUAAAACCGAAAAGCUUGGAGAAAGGAAUGCUCGUCCACUCUCAGGCAGCAGCACAGGGACUGCAAACCGACACUUUCGUGGCCAAUAGCUUAGUUGCCAUGUACUGCAAGUGUGGAAGCUUACUUGAUGCUCGCAUGGUCUUUGACAGGAUGCCAGUCUCAACUGUUGUGUCGUGGACGGCCUUGAUUCUCGCGCACGCUGAAAACGCACAAGCCGAGUUAGCACUGGAGUUCUUCAAGGCAAUCCAAAGUGACAAAACCUGUGAACUCGACUCCAGGGCUUACAUUGCAGCACUCGUGGCGUGUGGAGCUCUGACCGCACUCGAGGCUGGAAGACGAAUCCAUGCAGAAGUUUGCAAGCGGGGUUUCGACGGCGAAGUCUACGUUGCAAACGCUCUUGUCGACUUCUACGCCAAGUGUGGAAGCAUGGACGAAGCAAUGGCAGU